rnacentral:rRNA from 1 species
GACAGAGGGGGCAAGCGUUGCUCGGAAUUAUUGGGCGUAAAGGGCGCGUAGGCGGUCUUUCAAGUGACGGGUGAAAUCCCUCGGCUUAACCGAGGAACUGCCUGUCAGACUGGAAGGCUUGAGACCGGGAGAGGUGAGUGGAAUUCCCAGUGUAGCGGUGAAAUGCGUAGAUAUUGGGAGGAACACCAGUGGCGAAGGCGGCUCACUGGACCGGUACUGACGCUGAGGCGCGAAAGCGUGGGGAGCAAACAGG